rnacentral:tRNA from 1 species
GAAAUAUGAAAGAAAUCAAAUAAAGCUUCUAACUUAAUUUUUAGUGGUUUAAUUCCAUUAAUAUUUCU